rnacentral:rRNA from 1 species
UGUAAGCGUAUACCAAAGUUGUUGCAGUUAAAACGCUCGUAGUCGGAAUUUGGCAGUUCCGGAUGUGUGCACGUCGUGUGCGCACUUCGCGGGGAUUGCUUUUGUGGUCUUGCGUAGGAUGAGGCACUUUUAUUAGUGAACGUCCUCACGCAGCCACUUUUUACUGUGAGAAAAUCAGAGUGCUCAAAGCAGGCAUUUGCCGUGAAUGUAUUAGUAUGGAAUAAUAGAAUAGGACUUGGUUCUAUUUUGUUGGUUUGUUGGGACUGAGUAAUGAUUAAGAGGGACAGUUGGGGGCAUUUGUAUUUCGGUGCUAGAGGUGAAAUUCUUAGAUUACCGAAAGACAAACUGCUGCGAAAGCGUCUGCCAAGGAUGUUUUCAUUGA